rnacentral:tmRNA from 1 species
UCACUCGGCAAGCUGUAAAGCGAAUCCUUAAAUGAGUUGACUAUGAACGUAGAUUUUUAAGUGGCGAUGUGUUUGGACGCGGGUUCGACUCCCGCCGUCUCCAUAU